GCUGCUCGAGAAGAGAGCCAGCAGCCUCCUACAGCACCACUACAGGCACCGAGAGGACAUAACAUCACAGAGCGGCUCCUCUGCCCUCCAAAACAACAACUUUCCUACCAUCUUGGAGAAACGUGGCAACUUUUAGUUGCUUUAUAAUAGUUCUAAAAAUUAAUGUGUAAUUGGGAAAGUCGGCGUAACUUUUUGUGGUGCUGCUACUGCCAGUGGAACAGCUGCGAUUGAUGCAGGAUAGUUUGGCAGCAUUGUAUCAUUACAUCCUCUCUCUCAAGGCAUUGUAAGUAAAACUGAAUGAGCAGGUAAGAAUAUAAAAGCAUUUAUUAUUUUUUUUAAAUUUUAUUUUAAUGUAUAUAUAUAAAUAUUGAUAUAUCUGUGUAGCAGGAAGGCUUAUAGAAAAGCCACGGGAGAUUUAAUGUGAGUGGAUCCUGUGAUAGAUACCUGAAAAAAUUCUGCUAAUCUGUCCUAAAUUCAUGUGAAAAAUAAAGCCCAGAGAGGAAAUUUGGAGGUAACCAUUAAGUUAAUGUUUUCAAAGCAUAUUGCAACUUCAAUCUGUUUGGGUUCUUCUUAAGUUGCUGUUUUGAUGUGGGGGCUUUGUCUCUGAUAUUUAUGGAUGUGAUUACUGCUGACUUCUUGCUUGCAAAGUUGGGAAAUGCUGUUAACUUACGCUCCAGUGCCCUGUAAGACGGGAUGGUCAUUGCAUUUUUCCUUCUUGCAGAUGCUUUUGUUAAAUUAUUAAACGUAGAUCAAACGCUGUCAAAACAACGUGAGGUUUUACUGUGUGUCCAUAGGUGAGGACACUGAUGAUUGCAUCAAGAAGACCUAUGAUAAUGUUUGCGAUAGGGUUAUGUCAGCCCCGUACAGGGAACUGCCGAGAUACCUAUUUAUUCCUCCUGGAGAAAGAGAAAAUAAUUGGGAAACUAAUUGGUUAUACAUGUUAAAAUGCAUUUACAUUUUUGUUCGUUGUAAAAAAAAUAUUCAGGUGGGCUAAUUGAGCUGCAAUCAGACUGCAGUCAUAUGAAUGAGGGCAUUGGGCUGUUCAGUGCUACUGCACCCUGCCUCUGCUCUGCCAAAUCUGAAAUAUAUCGAGUCUUACCUCUCCUACUGCAAUCCUUCAUUGAAAGAAAUAUUUCCCAAACACAGGCACACUCCUUCAUUCCCUUCUGAAAAUACACUUCGUCAGUUGCCUGGCGAGCACAGUUUGUGUGUUCAUGGUGGCUUUUUCACGUAGAUAAAUUAGUUUGUAUUAAAGUUUAAUUAAAAGUCAGUUGGUCUUUGCGUCAAACUGCGUAUUUUGUGUUUGGCUGGAUUUGUUUUCAAUGAUGGUUAGUCUAAUUGGCAUCCUUUAAUAAUGCAGCGUUGCAUUCCGUGGAGUUACUGCAAAGGUGUUUUUUUUUGUAUCAGAUUAUUAAUCCACUAAGUGCAUUAUUCAGCUCUGACAUUAGGAACAUAAUAAUAAUCAUCAAAUGCAUUGCUCCUGUUUCCCGUUUGGAAAAAGAAAUGUAUAAAAGCAAUGGCAUAAUCAGGUUACUUUGUAAUCUUACCAGUCAUUAUUGUGUCAUUUGAAGCAUGGAAUAUAAUAAUUAUUUUGCAGGAUAUUUAAAUAAAAAUACUUUUAUGUUCUCUAUCUAAAACUCACUGCAGGAAUGACAGCGAUUACAAAUGUUGAUCAUCACUGGGAUGAUUACAAAACAAAACACUUUGAAAUAUCACCAAUAAAUGCUCUCCUGUGGCAACAGACUCAGAUACGAAACAGCCGCAGAGCAAACUAACAUUUCCUUUUAGUCUAGAUAAGUAAUGGAGCAAAUUCUCAGACCAGUUUUUAGAUGCUUGCAGGCCUGGUUAAUAAUUCAGGUGUGUUUGAGGAAUUGCUCCAUACUGGCUUGUGUGAAACUCCAGAGUUGCUGAGAGUUUUGCUGUCAUGCAGUAUUUAAGUUUCCACACUAGGUGACUGCUUGUAUCAAUGCGUUGUACAGAAUUGCCACUUUUAACUGGAAGUCAAUAGGUUAGUGUAAUUCAAAUGUAAUUCAAGCUAGUUCUUCUCAUCGCACCACUGAAUAAUGGUUAUAGAGAGGGAGGCAUAAUACUAACAGCUGAUCUGUGCUCCUGAGAAUAGCCAUACAGCAAGCUGAGGGGUGGCUUAGUGCUUUUGGAAAUGGGAUGCAGAUGACAUGACAUGUUAGAGAAAAGGCUGUGAAAGAAAGCACUUGAGAACCCGAGCACAGAAACAAUACUAAACUCUUUCUUUGGCUUAUGUGCUUGGCUUCGCAGAUGCUGACUUUAAUCACAUUACUUGCAUGGCUAAUGGUACCAUGGUGGUUUAGUGGGUGAUGCUGAUGGACUAUAUGAUCCUAGAGGUCUUUUCCAGCCUUAACAAUUCUAUGAUUUAACAUGUACUGCAGCAGCACGAUGUGUUUUGGUGACAUCCUGAGAUUAGUUUGAAUUGCCUUAACUGCAAUACCAGAAGCUAAAGAAAAACAGUUUGAAUCUACUUUGCAGUAGGAAAAGUGCACAGAGAUAUUUCUGAGUGGCUUUUUUUAUUAGUAUUUUUUUUCCUCUUUAAUAUAUAUAAGCAAUUCUUUGUAAGGAAAUAAAGAGGAAAAAUUAGUUACAUCUUAGAAAUGUGGACUGCCAGCUGUAAUCAUUCAACAGAGAAAUGAAAUUCUUCAUACUGUGGACAUGGGAAUUUACUUCACGUAACUUUGUAUGCCUGAAAAGAUUCAAAAUAUUUUUAGUUACUUACAAUAAAUUGCCAAUAUUGUUUUGCUCAAAACAAAGUGUUACACUGUAACACUUCUAAGGAGCAAAUUCUGCUUGCUUUACUGGUGCAGAGUUGUUCAUGUUAUAUAUAUAAUAUAGUUAUGGACAAGACUGAUAGCUUGGGAGUCACAUCAUUUUGUUAAGAGCAGAUCUGUGCUGUGAAAUGAUUUUUGAGGAAAAAUUCAGUGGCCACAAAUCCUGCACAAGGUGUGUGAGCUCAGAGCAAGAAACCGCUGCAGGCAGAAUGCAGAUGGGAAUCCUGUCCCUUCCAUUUCCUUGUUACAGAAGUAGGUCUGUGUGACCAACACUCUGGACCAACCACUCCAGCCAGAAAACACAUUGUAUGCUUGAGUGCAGAAUGGUCAAAGAAAAUUAAUGUUCCCUAAAUCACUACUUGCAGGUUAAUGAGGCAUACUUUGCUGAUGCGUCUCACUGGCCUUAAUAGUGAGACAGAGGGCAGCAACACAGUGAAUAAGCUUUGUGAGUCUCAUACAAGAGGUGAAAUAGAUGCUUUGGGUUGUAUGCCAGUUAUUGGAGGAGACUGCUUCAGAAAGCAAACGGUGACUCUCCCAAGGUCACAUGGGCUCCAAGCACCUCUGGAUCAUAACUGAAGACUGUGAAUGACUGUGCAUGAUGAAGGGUCUUGACUUGUCAGCAAACAGCAUUAUGGCACUGCUAUGGUAUUAUUCCCUGACAUGCAUGUGUUCUGAAGAAACACUUCCAAUGUCUUUUAAUGCUUGGGAAAGCAAUCAGCAAGUUAUUUAAGAAGGAAGAGAAAUACCUGUGAAUGAGAGGGACAACUCCAUGCCUGUAGCUGCUUGUUAGAAACUUUUAUACAGAGCCCGAUUGAUGUAUGAAAUCUUUAGGCAUUUAAACACUGAAGGGAAUGACAAAAAAAAAAAAACAAACACACCAAAAUUCUGAUAAGAUUUGUUCUUCUAAGUAAGGUCUUGAGCAGCAUCUUGGUGCAGUGUUGGUUUAUUUAGUUGUGGUAAGUUCUAGGAUUAAGCUAACCAUUGGAAACCAGCAUAUAAUGGAACACAGCUCAUUCUUAUUUUCUUAUUUCUUUUAAACAAUUCUUUGACGCACAUGUUUUGUUUAUUGCAGCAGUUGUCUAUGGGAUGUUUCCAUUCCUGUUACCCUUACUAGGAUGUAUUAGCUAACCAGCAAAACAUCACCAAAAAUAAAUGACUGUCUUUGUUUUUCUGAGUCUUAAGGUCCAUAAUAAUAUUUACUGGAGCAAUGGGAAUUUUGCUGUGGAUUACAGUAGGAAUAAGGCUGUGGAAGUAUUAGUCAAUUGGGAGCAGGCAUAUGGUAGCUUAUUGCAUGGUAAUAUAAUUAACUGACAGUGAACUGACCUGAAAAUAGUAAUUAAGUCUUUACUAACCUGUUUUUCAUUAUCAAUGUGUAUUUUAAACUGCAUUAAAUAAACAUUAUCAUCUCCUAAGUCUCAGCAAAUACAAAAUAGUAAUACAAUCAGUUGUGGGAAAGUUGUCCAGAGUACAAGACAGGCAACUGUGGAGACUUCUUUAAAUAGAAGACAAAUGAUAUAAACUGCCCCAGCAGAGUGCUGAAAUACAGUCCUAUUUUACUAGGGAGGACACUAUUAAUUGAAAGCAUGCUAUUGCACUUCUCCUUAUCUACCUGCUUGUGCCUAUUGAUAUUUCAUUACCUGUAAUCAUGGCUGUUAAGAAGCUACACACUUUAUUACCAGACUUACAUUCAGUUACUCAUCUGCAUUCAGGUUACAGUGGGUAAUUCCAACUUGAAACCAAAUCAGUCUCCGAGUCCUGUACAAGAAGCUUCAAAGGUGUAUGGGACAUGCCAUGAUGGGUAGUGCAGGACUAAAAAGCACAGCACUGGGGCACUGAUCCCACAGUAAAGAACUUACUAUUUUAACAGGAGGUGGGAAAGGGGGACAGUUUGGCCCUCUUUAAUCUGACCGCUGGUGCUAACUUCGCCCAAACUUGCUCCAAAAUAUACAGUGCUCAGCAAGGUUUCACCUUAAGCCAACACAACCUUCUGCUGAAGACAAGGCUACAUAAAAACAAAGUUUAAUGUAAGGCAUAUUUAAGAGCUCGUUUACAUAGCACUGCAUUAAGAGAAGAGCGCUUAGUGACUGAACCUAUCUGUCUCUGUUCAACACAUUCUUUCUCAUGAUAUCUAUACAGGCAGGAGAGUACAGGAAAAAGCAAGAUGAAGGUUACUGUUCUGUAACAGGUCUUGCAACAAGUGAGAAAAUGUGUCAGCUGCCCAUUGGGUACAAUCAGGGCUGCAUUUAGGAACUGAUCUCCCUCAGCUCUCACCUCCUGCUACAUUCAAGCCUACAUUACCUCCCAUUUCUGUGUGUACCCCUACUUAUCUUUUUAUCCAUACCUCAAAAGAAAGCCCACACAUCUAUGGCCUGCCCAGCCAGCACGACAAACAAAAGUAGCAUGGACUACAUUAUGAACUCAGUUGAUAAUGCCCAUUUCUAUUUCUCUUUAAUACCUUAUUUCCAAUAGUCAAACCCAUAGUGCCUUCUUGCUAUUGCCAAGUGUGUCCAAAAAGUUCUCUACUUAGUGACUAGUUAAGUGGCAGGAGGAGAGGGCAGAAACAGAACAGUGACACCUCAUGUACCAAUUACCCUUUUUAAAAUGAGGGCUGGGUACUUCUUGAAUACAAGUAUCUCCUAUAUGCACAUACUAACUGAAGGAUGGAGGACUUUCAAAAGUAAUGUGCUCCCAGAGUUAAAUAACGCUAUGUUAUUUAAGG